rnacentral:misc_RNA from 1 species
CCGCGAGAUAUCGCGGAUAUCGCGACCCGCUAACAACUAUUUAAUGGGUCAAAACAGAGACAAGCGUUCCGGCAAUUCCCGAGAUAAUUCGCUCUAAUUAACGUCGAUAUCGCGGCCGAUCGAAUGGCUAAUGAACCAGUGAAAUUUCUCAAUGAACGAUGGGAGAAAGGAAAUUGUGAGAAAGUAUGCUCCAAUCCAUAUGAAAAAUUUAAUAUUUCUCGGGAUUGUUAACGUCAAUGGAAUUUGAUACCGGUGCCGG